UACGAAGGGGGCGAGCGUUUGUUCGGAAUUACUGGGCGUAAAGGGCGCGCAGGCGGCCCUUGAAGUCAGGCGUGAAAGCCCCGGGCUCAACCUGGGAGGUGCGCUUGAUACUCGAGGGCUUGAGUGCGGGAGAGGAGAGUGGAAAUUCCCAGUGUAGAGGUGAAAUUCGUAGAUAUUGGGAAGAACACCGGUGGCGAAGGCGGCGACCUGGUCCUUGACUGACGCUGAGCGCGAAAGCGUGGGGAGCAAACGGG
rnacentral:rRNA from 1 species